rnacentral:lncRNA from 1 species
GGAGUGAAUAUGUUUAUUUGUGUUUAAAUUAGUAUUAUCAGAUAUACAACUGAAUGAUAAAAAGAAAAAAAAAAAAAAAAGAAAGAAAGAAAGAAAGAAAACUCCUACUAGCAGAGGAAGUAAUAUUGUUUGAAUCCCUUAACAAACUGUCAGUAUGAAAGCAGCAAGACUACAGAAUACAGCUGAUGGUUAGAUGGUUAAGCUCACAACACCAGAAACACUUGAAUGAGAAAGAAUGGAACACCAUUAGAUGAUAAUGGGUCAAGCUAUGAAGUGACCACCUGACCGAUGCACAAGAGAAAUGGAGAGCAGCAAGCUUGCAUGAGAUAAGCCCCAUCAAGAAUGAAUCACAUAUACAAAGCCAGCAUGUACAUUAAGUUCAUGCUGACAAGCUGCAGCUGGUUUCAGGGACACCAGUCGAUGAAGUCUACCAGGAUGUGGUCAACAAGCUACAUACAGUAUGACUUUCCCCACAGGCCUUUGCAGAAAACCCACAGCUUCUUUGGAGUGUUGCUAUUUAGCCUGGAGAAAAGAUAACGUAGGAAGAACUAAACCCUCUGUGCAGGUUUUGGAGAAGAUGGAGCCAAACUCUUCACAGCAGGUCAAGAAGAACAGGAGGCACAUAGAUAUAUUGAAAUGCAACCUCCAUCACUACAGGUUUCCAUUAUACCCCCCUGGACAAAUCUCUGACCUGGACUGAAUUCAGUGGCUAGGCUUUGAACAGAAUGCUGCCCUAGAGUCCUCCUAAGAUUGCUUCAAACCAGAAUUAUUCAACUGAGUUAUUCAAUCAUUUUAAGAUUCUGUGACUGAAUUUUAAAUUCUCUCCCUGUACAAAGAUAUAACUAUCUGGAUGCACUGACUUGUCAUAAGAUGUUGAUCUGGAGAAUGAUCAUUAGCAGCUAAUACCAAAAUGUCAUUGAUGAUGCUGUAAUAAAGUUUUGAGUCUGAAAGUGUUCCCUUAGUUG